UGGCCUCAGAUCAGGG
rnacentral:rRNA from 2 species